UUAUUUUGUGACAAGUACUAGAUUUUCUUGGAGUCACCUACAGUACACAUGUCUUGAGAGAAACCACAAGGGGAAGGUAGAGAACUGAUAAAUAUCCUCUGUGCCUGAUUUCCAUUGUAUUUUGGGGGGGAAAGGUUUGCUGCUUAGGUACAAUCAAGUCACACAACGCCCUUCAUGAUCUGUGGAGGUUUCUUGCUUUCUGUUUACUAUGUACAAUGUAUUAACAUUUAAGCAAAAGUUUCUUUCUUAUUUACACAGUUAAAGCCUGGGGCAGUCAGGAUAGCAAGUUGGCCUGGGAAUCAACGCUGUGAAUUUGGAAAUGUGCAGUGGUUCUUGGCAUCCCAGCACAGGGACAGUCCUCCCUGGGGGGAAGAAGCCACAUUGGGCAUGGGGAGCCUGAGUUUGCACUUUGACCGGCUUGCUUUGCUGUCUUCAUUCUUCUUCAGUUUCAUUUCAGGAUCUAAAUCAGAGUCUCCAUUUAAUUCUCUCCAAGCUCUGCAGCCUCAGCUCUACCAUGGUCCACAGGCUUGAAAUUUGGAAUCGUGACCAUCUCUCAGGCGAGCACUGUGCAGUACAACACUCAGCUCCUGGUGAGCCACACAGUCACAGGAAGAAGCAACCUGAGCCUGCUAGGAGGUCAGGUCAGAUAGGUUAGAAGACAGAUGCUGAACACAUGAGGAGAAGGAUGAGGAAGGAAGAUCCACCCCAACCACACUGAUUCCAGACAGCACUCAAUCCAUUCAGGACUAGAGAUUGUUCCAGGCCAUGAAAUCAUCCAAACUUAUGUUUUUAAAACAUAUUUUCAUUGAUUAAAAACAAUCUAAAAACAAGGAUAAUCCAAGUUUUAAACUAACAGUACAUUUAUCCAAAAUACUCAAUAUUUUUUCAAUGGACGCUUUUGUUACAAUUAUCUAAAACUUGGACAGCUAUGCAAACAUGAGCUAAUAUUUUUGUCUAAACAGGUAUUAGUUGUAUGUGUAAUGCAAAUACAUGGCAAAAAAAUAAUCAAGCACAGCAAGAGUACAAAAGGAAAGGAAAGUCUCCUUGAUUCUGGUCCUCCGAUUGUAUGUCCUACAACUCAGAGUUAACCACAAUUUCUGGUUUCAUGUGUAUCCUUGUAGAAUGCCUCUAAAUAAAUGGAAUCAUAAACAUAAGCCUACAUGCACAAUUUACAAAGCGACGUGAUCCUAAUGUCUUACUGCAUUUUGUGCUCCCAAGACAAAGUGCCCGAGGCUGGGUACUCUUUACAGAGGUUUGUUCAGCUCACAGUUGUGGCAGCUGGGAAGUUCAAGGACAACUGGCCCCACUAGUGAGAUCCUCUUUCAGGUCCUAAUUUGGUGAUGGGCUCACAUAGAGGGAGCUAACACAAGAGUGAGGGUUCUCCAGAUAAGAGAGAGGAGGCAAGAGGCCAGGAAGGCAGGUUUGCUCCUGUAAAUCAAACUGCUGUCCUGGAAACUAAUCCACUCCUUGGGAUUAGUAUAAAUCCCCUCCAAAUGGUGCUUCCAUGAUCUAAUCGCCUCCCACAACACCCUAUUCAAGACCCACCCCUUCUUAAAACCAUAUUUUGAGUCCAGCUUCUUGCACAUAGACUCUUGGGGGCCAAUCCAUACCCACAGCCUAGUACUCAAUGACCUACUAUUCCAUUAGGGCUUUAUUUUUCCCCAGGACAGUUGAUUGAUCCCAGGUCUUUCCAAUCAAGGUACAUUCCGAGCCCAUUUUGAUUUUUCAAGACAGGGUCUAACUAAGUCACCAA